rnacentral:rRNA from 1 species
CUCGUCACGGCUGCUCUGCCCGCCUCCGCCUCGCCAGCUGUGCAUGUCGCCAGCGUGCGCACCCAUGUGCCCGUCACGCUCGACCUCGCCGCCUCGAACUUCACCAAGUGGCGGAUGCUUGUCCGUGUCCUCUUCAGCAAGUAUGACUUGCUUCCCCACGUCAACGCCAUCACUGCCGCGGCGGACCGCACGCCAGACUGGACUCGCGACGACUACGUCGUUCGGUCGUGGCUCUACGGGUCCAUCUCCGACGAAAUCCUCGACAUAAUCAUGGCGGAGGAUCAAACGGCCCAGGAAGCAUGGACGCUCAUCACCAACCUUUUUCUGGACAAUCAGAUGACUCGCGCUGUUUACCUCGAGGCGGAGUUUCGAGGCCUCGUCCAAGGCGAUCUCUCCAUCACCGCUUACUGUCAUCGCCUCAAGGCCCUUUCGGAUGCUCUCAGCGACGUCGGCACACCCGUCUCCGACCAAACGCUCGUCCUCAACUGCCUCCGUGGGCUCAACCCGCGCUUCUCCGACAUCACCACGAUCGUCACUAUGCAGAGCCCCUUGCCGUCCUUCGCCCAGACGCGCUCUCUUCUCACUCUGCGCGAGACGCAGCUCGCGAACUCCACAGCCGUGGGGAACCAGACUGCGCUCUACAGCGGAGGUCCGUCCCAUGGCGCAGGCAGCUCCAACUCGUCC